UACGAGGGGGGCAAAUGUUGUUCGGAAUCACUGGGCGUAAAGCGCACGUAGGCGGCUUUCUAAGUCAGGGGUGAAAUCCUGGAGCUCAACUCCAGAACUGCCUUUGAUACUGGAGAGCUUGAGUCCGGAAGAGGUGAGUGGAACUCCGAGUGUAGAGGUGAAAUUCGUAGAUAUUCGGAAGAACACCAGUGGCGAAGGCGGCUCACUGGUCCGGUACUGACGCUGAUGUGCGAAAGCGUGGGGAGCAAACAGG
rnacentral:rRNA from 1 species